rnacentral:rRNA from 1 species
UACGGAGGGUGCAAACGUUGCUCGGAAUCAUUGGGCGUAAAGCGCACGUAGGCGGCCUGUUAAGUCGGGUGUGAAAGCCCUGGGCUCAACCCAGGAAGUGCACUCGAAACUGGCAGGCUUGAAUAUGGAAGAGGGUCGCGGAAUUCCCGGUGUAGAGGUGAAAUUCGUAGAUAUUGGGAAGAACACCAGUGGCGAAGGCGGCUCACUGGCCCGUAACUGACGCUGAGGUGCGAAAGCGUGGGGAGCAAACAGG